AGUCGUGGCUGGGUUUCGGGGAGGGCGCCCGGUGCGGGGGGCGCCCAGGGCCUGCGCACACGGGUAGGCCCGCGUGCCCAAGCCCCCUUGCAGCCCAGGCGCCCUGGCUCAUUAUCCAUCCCGGCCACUGGCGUUCGGUUCCGCUCCUGUCGCACCACCCCCUCACUGCUCUGACAGAUACCAGGAGCUGGUGCCAACCCGCAGACACACCUGGGCAGCCCCACGUGGGUAUCGCACGCGCAGGGGCACAUCUGCCCUGCCGGGUUUGGAGAGCAGUUGCAAGUCAGCCCCUGGAAUGUGGUCCCGUGCCGGCUGGAGCAAGAACUGUGUAACCUCUCUGAGCCUCAGAUAACUCAUCUGUUAAAUGGGGAGGAUGAUAGCAUCACUGGGUUGUUGUCAGGAUGAAAUAAGAUAGAGGCUAUAGGGGCGGGUGUGGUGGCUCACUCCUGUAAUACCAGCACUUUGGGAGGCCAAGGUGGGAGGAUCCCUUGAGCCCAGGAAGUCAAGGCUGCAGUGAGCCAAGAUCACGCCACUGCACUCCAGCCUGUGCGACAGUGUGAGACCUGGUCUCAAAAAAAAAAAAAAAAGGCUACAAAGUGUUAUAUCAGAGUCACUAGCACUCACCCAGUAAGUGAUAGCCAUGAAGAUUCUUAAAGAGAAGGGAACUGGGAGCUACAAAGCCAGCUGGGCUCACAGGCUGCAACUGGGGCAUGUCUGGGUUUCCGGCUUCUUUUUUCCUUCCCUGUAUCAUAUUUAUUUUUUCCUCAAUAUCACCCCUCAUCUUUCACCCAGGGCCUGCAAUAUUCCUUCGUUCAUUUGACACACAUCGGUUGAUAUUUGUGCCUGCUGUGAGGCAUUAAAAACUGCUUAUCUGGCUGUGUGGCACCCGGGAACUUUCCCCAGGCCACACCAGCUACACCUGUGGCCUCCUCAGCCUGGGUUGCUGCCCUGAGUCACUGGAGUAGGUCACUUCCUCUCUCAGUCCCUCCAUCUGUGCAAUAGGGAUAAGAGGCCUGGCUUCUCUCUAGUCUCCUGGGACUGUCAGGGGAUGAGUCAGAUAACGGUGGGGAAGGCGCAGAGAGGCAGAAAGCAGCUCUUACUAGAGCGGGGCCCAUCUGGCUGAUGCAAGGCUUGCACUUUGCAUGUAACCCCAGCCGGUACAAACAGGGAUGGCUCCGGGAAGCGUGAGGAGCAGGGGGAGCAGAGAAGUCCCCAACCCUACCCGACAGCCGGGGUGUGGGAUCCAGACUGGCAGCUUAGGAGUCUGAGCAGCUGGGGCUCUGUCCAGGCUCUGCUUCCCCAGCUCUGCGAGCAUGACAGCAGGUUCCUGACCCCUCUGAUCCGGCUGCCUUUUCUGUCACUCAGGGGUUGCAGUACCUCCCUCACCUAGCUGAAGUUGGAAGUGAAGGUGGUAACUCCCAGAGGGAGUGGAGCCCUUCCGUGUUUCUGGGAGGGGUCUGAGGGCUGGCCGGGGGGGUCCGGGUGGGGGAGGUGGGACCAGACAGGAGGAAGGCAGCCCUGGCCAAAGGCUCAGCAUAUUCCAUAGUCACCUCAGGCAGGGGGUUCUAGGGGCUCCUCCCAAAAGAGUCAGAGACCCCUGCACCCUCAGCCGACCCCAGGCAUGACAGACCCCGCCUCAUCCCACAGUGCACAAGGAGAUCACACUCAGAUCUGGGCCCCAGUCUGGCGUCUGCCCCAGGCCAGCUGCAUGACCUUGGGCAGGUGAUUGAAUGUUUUUGGGUCUCCAUUUUUCCACUUGUGAAAUGGGGAUAGCGAUGCCUACUUUGUAAAGCUGUUGUGAGGCUGGGGGAAAAUGAGAACGAUAUCAAGUGUUCACAGUAGAGGCCAGCACUGUUGUGAGCGGCAGCUCCUCUCCCUCCCCUCCCCUCCCCCUUUCCCUAUCACAGGUGGGGCCAGGUGGAAUGUCACAGUAAGUCCUUGGGAUAGAAAGGUCUACUGACAUAUUCAAAGUGCCCCCGCCCCCAAGGUUUCUAGCCUGAUACCAUAAGCUUUGAUGGCAAGAGCUCUGUUUGCUUGGGGACUUUAUAUGCAUGAUUGUAUUUGACAUAUGACGAGGGCCAUACGUGGCAUCCAUUAUAUAGAUGGAAGCGGAGGCAGGAGAAGUCAAAUAGCUUGUCUGGUCACAUGGCUAGAAAGGGUGAGUGCCAGGAUUUGAAACCAGGUCUUCCGGACUCCAGCUCAUCCACCACACACCCCCUGCCUGCCUCUUGCUUUUGCCCUGGGUGUUCUCCUCUUUCCUGAGUGGCCUCUUAUGAUGUGGAGUCCCCGAGGCCAGGGACGGUCAUGAGCAUGGCUUCCUUGUCUUCCAGGGUGUGGCUCAAGCACACAGUGGGUCCUCAGUCCACCCUGCUGACCAGGGAGAUGAGUCCUGGCAUGAGGGAGAUGACUCAUGAAGCCGGGCUGGGCGAGGGUACGUGCCUGUGUCUCUGUGUGCGUGCAUCUGUGUGCGUGCACAGGGAGGGGAAUGAACGAGUACUGUCUGCUGGAGGCCUUCUCUCUCCAAGCUCCUACCCCAUCCGGCGCUGCUCCUGAGACUCAGCCUUCAAGGGGGCUCUGAGCCUGAGAAGCAAGGGUGGGGGAGGUCUUGGCCAUCUCCCUCCCUGGCCUAACGCAGGGCCUGGUGGGGGCUGUGGCUGAUGGCGGUU
rnacentral:lncRNA from 10 species